rnacentral:pre_miRNA from 1 species
CAAAUACUCCCUCCGUCCAGAAAUACUUGUCAUCAAAAUGGAUAAAAGGAAAUGUAUCUAGACGUAUUUUAGUUUUAGAUACAUCUCUUUUUAUCCAUUUUGAUGACAAGUAUUUUGGGACGGAGGGAGUAGAAA